CACAACUGGCAAAGUUCCUGUGAUGGAAAUUGGAAAUGUCAGGGAACAAAGAACACAGGAAAUAAAAGUUCUCUUUAGGUGCAGCUCCCUGAGCUACAUCCAAGAAGAGUAAGGCAAAAUCCCAUUCCCUGCCACAAACCCACCACUCAUCCUGAAGGACUGAAACCCGGAGAAUCAUGGAACAUGAGUGGCAAAGACAAGACAAAACAAUAUAAGUCAAAAGACCCAGCACUUUUGAGUCCUCAACUGUAAGAGACCCCACUGUCUUUAAGAAUGGUCCAGAAAAGCUGUGUGUGUUCCCACAGACUAGCAAUUAUUGAUUCUAGCUCGUAUGACAGGUGUCUUGGCAAACAGGAAAUGGAUGACAGAGCCUUAUAACAACUGUAAUUUUAAGAGACAAAUCAAGAAGACAUGAGUAUUGGAUGAGGAACAGAUGGCUUUCAUCUUCCAUUACUACAGCACAUAGGAGAAUGCAUCAAGUCCACGUGGGUGUCAGAAAACAAAAAUCUCUUUGUGUAUCUAGCACUUAACACUCUCUCUUCUGCUUCAGGAAAAAAAGUAAACAUGCCACAAUAAUUGAACCUGCACACUUAAGGUUCUAAUAAUCAGAUUCUCAUGAAGAGGAGAGGGGAGAGAAAGAAGAAGAGGAAUUAAAAAGGAGGAGGAGGAGGGAAGAAAGACAGAAAGAAAGACCAACAACAUUAUUUUGUUCUUUGUUUCCAUUGCCUCUUCAUGGCUGAAUCACCAAGUGGCACACAAAUAUUAACUCUGAAAGAUAUGUGGAAGUGUGAAGCAUAAUCUUUAUGAUUCUGACAGCUGGUGAUAAGCAGCAGCUGGGUUCAUGAGUUCCAUAGCCUUUGUGAGUAUAUUGUUAAAGCAUUUCGAAGGAGGAGAAUUAAAAAAUUAACUCUCCCUUCAAGCCUUGCCUACCCUGAAAUAUU
rnacentral:lncRNA from 10 species